rnacentral:rRNA from 1 species
UACGUAGGGGGCAAGCGUUGUCCGGAUUUAUUGGGCGUAAAGAGCGUGUAGGCGGCCAAGCAGGUCAGCUGUGAAAACUCGAGGCUCAACCUCGAGACGUCGGUUGAAACCGUUUGGCUAGAGUCCGGAAGAGGAGAGUGGAAUUCCCGGUGUAGCGGUGAAAUGCGCAGAUAUCGGGAAGAACACCCGUGGCGAAGGCGGCUCUCUGGGACGGUACUGGACGCUGAGACGCGAAAGCGUGGGGAGCGAACAGG